UGCUGGAUGAGAAUCCGUGGGGGCGCC
rnacentral:sRNA from 1 species